CCAAACUUGGUCAUUUAGAGGAAGUAAAAGUCGUAACAAGGUCUCCGUUGGUGAACCAGCGGAGGGAUCAUUACAGAGUUGAAAAACUCCCAAACCCAUGUGAACUUACCACUUGUUGCCUCGGCGUGUUGCUGCACUUUUGUGUGGCGGCCGCCGGUGGACUUCUAAACUCUUGUUAUUUUGAGUCAUCUGAGCGUCUUAUGUAAAUAAGUCAAAACCUUUAACAACGGAUCUCUUGGUUCUGGCAUCGAUGAAGAACGCAGC
rnacentral:misc_RNA from 1 species